rnacentral:lncRNA from 1 species
GGCACCAGCCUCCGGGCCCCCACCGUACCUCCCCCAUUACCCCCUGCUCCUCCACAACCUGCCCGGCGACAGAGCCGGCGUUUACCAGUCUCCCCCUGCCCAGCCUCCCCUGUCAUUUCAAACAUGCCUGCUCAGGUGGACCAGGGAGCGGCUACAGAGGACAGAGGAGGCCCUGAGGCUGUGGGUGGGCAUCCCCCUACCCCAGUUCUGCCACCCCAGCCCCGGCCCAGGGGCCUCAUUUCAGAGACAGAUUAAGCAGGCCCUCCUGCCUGGCAAGUCUUCAGUGUCCCCUUUCUCUCCUCCUCUCCCCUUCCUCCCUUGUCUCCCAUGAUAGCCCUCACCAUGUGCCUAGGUGCCUGCUGGGCCGGCCCCUAUGGCCAGGAGGGCUCAAGCCAGCCCUCUAAAUUUCAAACCUUUCCUCUUCCACUUUGAGCUUGGAGUUCCCACCCGACUCCCCACUCUCUGGCAGGGUUUCAAGGGAGCUACCAGAAGGAAGGACAACAGACAUGCCUGUUCCUACGGGACUUUUAUUUUUCUCUUGCCAAUGUAUUUUUGUAAGGCUCGUAAAUAAAUUAUUUUUAACAAAACUGGAGUAAA